GAUGAACGCUAGCUACAGGCUUAACACAUGCAAGUCGAGGGGCAGCAUGGUCUUAGCUUGCUAAGGCCGAUGGCGACCGGCGCACGGGUGAGUAACACGUAUCCAACCUGCCGUCUACUCUUGGACAGCCUUCUGAAAGGAAGAUUAAUACAAGAUGGCAUCAUGAGUCCGCAUGUUCACAUGAUUAAAGGUAUUCCGGUAGACGAUGGGGAUGCGUUCCAUUAGAUAGUAGGCGGGGUAACGGCCCACCUAGUCUUCGAUGGAUAGGGGUUCUGAGAGGAAGGUCCCCCACAUUGGAACUGAGACACGGUCCAAACUCCUACGGGAGGCAGCAGUGAGGAAUAUUGGUCAAUGGGCGAGAGCCUGAACCAGCCAAGUAGCGUGAAGGAUGACUGCCCUAUGGGUUGUAAACUUCUUUUAUAAAGGAAUAAAGUCGGGUAUGGAUACCCGUUUGCAUGUACUUUAUGAAUAAGGAUCGGCUAACUCCGUGCCAGCAGCCGCGGUAAUACGGAGGAUCCGAGCGUUAUCCGGAUUUAUUGGGUUUAAAGGGAGCGUAGAUGGAUGUUUAAGUCAGUUGUGAAAGUUUGCGGCUCAACCGUAAAAUUGCAGUUGAUACUGGAUAUCUUGAGUGCAGUUGAGGCAGGCGGAAUUCGUGGUGUAGCGGUGAAAUGCUUAGAUAUCACGAAGAACUCCGAUUGCGAAGGCAGCCUGCUAAGCUGCAACUGACAUUGAGGCUCGAAAGUGUGGGUAUCAAACAGGAUUAGAUACCCCUGGUAGUCCACACGGUAAACGAUGAAUACUCGCUGUUUGCGAUAUACUGCAAGCGGCCAAGCGAAAGCGUUAAGUAUUCCACCUGGGGAGUACGCCGGCAACGGUGAAACUCAAAGGAAUUGACGGGGGCCCGCACAAGCGGAGGAACAUGUGGUUUAAUUCGAUGAUACGCGAGGAACCUUACCCGGGCUUAAAUUGCAGAUGAAUUACGGUGAAAGCCGUAAGCCGCAAGGCAUCUGUGAAGGUGCUGCAUGGUUGUCGUCAGCUCGUGCCGUGAGGUGUCGGCUUAAGUGCCAUAACGAGCGCAACCCUUGUUGUCAGUUACUAACAGGUUCCGCUGAGGACUCUGACAAGACUGCCAUCGUAAGAUGUGAGGAAGGUGGGGAUGACGUCAAAUCAGCACGGCCCUUACGUCCGGGGCUACACACGUGUUACAAUGGGGGGUACAGAGGGCCGCUACCACGCGAGUGGAUGCCAAUCCCCAAAACCUCUCUCAGUUCGGACUGGAGUCUGCAACCCGACUCCACGAAGCUGGAUUCGCUAGUAAUCGCGCAUCAGCCACGGCGCGGUGAAUACGUUCCCGGGCCUUGUACACACCGCCCGUCAAGCCAUGGGAGCCGGGGGUACCUGAAGUGCGUAACCGCGAGGAGCGCCCUAGGGUAAAACUGG
rnacentral:rRNA from 1 species